UUGAGAAUGCUAUUCUCCCUGACACCUUAUUUGGGGCUCAAAUAAACCUGGUUUUGCUUCUCCACCCUGGUGUGAUAAUUAGUGCGACGCACACCGGGCAACGAAUCCCGCUGUUGCUCCGCCUUGGGCUCUUUGAGUCGGCAACAUAUGCAAAGCUGCCU